GCCAUCAAUGGGCAUUGGGUGCAGGUCAUAUUAAAGGUGUAGGCUUGGGGUGUGACGUAGUUUUCCAAGAAACCAAUGCCUUCUUUGAGAUUGUCACAGACCCUGUCCAUAAGAAAGUCCGACAGAGCUGCUCAAAUACCUUGAUGACUUUCUUAGGGAGAUGGAAGAUCUGGGCCCAAUAUGUCUGCACUCCAAAUAAAUCUACUUCUAUAAGUUGUAGCCUUCCAGCAUAAGACAAUAACUUGGCUGACCAACAAGUGAUUUUAUCUGUGAUCUUUUCAAUCAAUGGAAGGUAUGCAUAAGCUUAAAGUUUUUUAGAAGCUAGUGGUACACCAAGAUAUCUAAAAGGAAGAGUUCCCACAGAAAAGCCCAAGGCAUCCACAAUCUCUUGUUUUGUGUGAUCAUGCACCCUAACAAUAUAGACCAAAUUCUUGUCUUUAUUAGCCUGUAAUCUAGAUGCUUCAGAAAACCUCAUAAAAGCAUGAUUCAUCAAUGUUACUGAUACCAUAUCAGCUCUGCAAUACAUCAACAAGUCAUCCACAAAACAUAUGUGAAUAUUGUGUAUUUUUUCACACCCGGGAGGGUAGUUAAAAUCCCCAUUUGUUGCCAUUUGCAGUAGUUCUCUUUCUAAGUACUCCAUAGUCAAGACGAAAAGAAAGAGUUUGAGCUCCUUUUGUUUGUGGCCUUGAUUAAAGCCUCUUAUGUUCCAAGUAGCAACGAUCAUGUGGGCAGGAAUGGCAUGGAGCUACCAGCGCUAUCCUGCAUCUGAUUUCCCACAUAAGAAUCUGCACAUUUGAGCUUUCAUCCACAUGUUAUUUACCAGGUCUUUGUCCAGGAUCAAGUUCAGGUGGUGGCUGGAUUGAUGGCUCAGUAACUGAAUAUGGGAUAUCACAUUUCUCUAGUUCAACAUGGGAUUGAGCUUGUACUGGUAUCCAGUUUGCAAUAAGUCGCCUUUGUUACCCAUUUUUGCUUCCAUAUGGUUCACCCUGUUGACAUCUCUACCAUAGUCCUCCUCCCUAUCCUCAGUUGAGUAUUUUUUGUACAAUCAAUCAGUAUCUUUAUGUCCUAACCUUAGAAAAUAAUUGUAGAAUUUGGGUCUCUAUUCAUAUUCAAUAGAUUGAGUCCACGAUUCAAUAUGUGUUUCAAUAGCUAUAACAUCAGGCAAGUUCGUUGAAAUAUCAACCUUAAACAAGGACUCUAGCAUAUGAGAUUCUUUUAGCAGUUGCAGUGAAACCAUUUGUAUAUAAGGGAACCCCAAUUGCACUAGCAACUUUACUCAAAGCUUAAACAGACCAAUACCCCACAGGUAGACCUAGAAAUUUAACCCAAAUUGGGAUCUAUCUAUACAUAUCAGCAUCAAGCUCAAAAUCUAAUUCCCAAUAUCUCAAUACAAUAGGUUUAUUUCCGUAGAAGUAAGGCCCGUCUUGCAUCAUUUUCUCUUUGUCAAUAAUAUUAUGAAAUUUAAAAACAUAAUAUCCAUCAUCAUGGUAUAGGACAUGUGGUGGAGCAACAAAAUCCCAAUCCUUCUUGACAUACUCCUUCAUUUGAUUUUCAUACACGCUAUCCCCAAUUACAUAUCCUAUUAAUGCAUUUUCCCACUCCUUCACAUGCAAGCGAAUAUCCUCAUCUCCAAUUUCAAUUGUAUGACCCCUUCCUUAAUCACUGCGGGAUAAAGUUUAGGGUCUUACUAGUGUUGCAAUUUCUUCUCACAUAUGCAGGUGCAGCAGGAGUUGACUGAGCAGAUAUAUUAGUAUCAAAAAAUUUUAGUCUUCUCUUCGGUGUAUCCUUCCUAGAUGCUUUCCCCAUCUAAACUUCAUCCUCUAUGUAGUUGUGAACUUCGAAGGUGGAAAAUUUCCAAAAGUGAGGAGAAAGUUGUUGAGUUUCUCCAGAAGCCGGGGUAACGAUUUGUGGUAGAGUAGUGUGGAUGGGGGUUGUCGGUGGCGACCCAUCAAACACGAUCUUAGCUCACCCUUGCUAUGGUGCGCCGAGAGCAUUCUGAAUUGCUAUUGUUCCCUGA